CUUUCCCUCUUGCUGCCUUCCUAACACAUGCAAGUCGAGCGAGCGGCGGACGGGUGAGUAAUGUAUGGGGACUGCCCGAUAGAGGGGGAUAACUACUGGAAACGGUAGCUAAUACCGCAUACUAUCGGAUAACCCAUAUGGGAUUAGCUAGUAGGUGAGGUAAUUGCUCACCUAGGCGACGAUCCCUAGCUGGUCUGAGAGUAUGAUCAGCCACACGGGGACUGAGACACGGCCCAGACUCCUACGGAGGAAGCAGUGGGGAAUAUUGCACAAUGGGCGCAAGCCUGAUGCAGCCAUGCCGCGUGUAUGAAGAAGGCCCUAGGGUUGUAAAGUACUUUCAGUCGGGAGGCGUUACCGACAGAAGAAGCACCGGCUAACUCCGUGCCAGAAGCCGAGGGAAUUC
rnacentral:rRNA from 1 species